rnacentral:lncRNA from 1 species
AUUUUGUCAAAGCAGAAAAAUGGUGUGCACUUGGUAUGAAAUUUCAGAGACAUUUAUCAACAUUGAAAAAUACUUAUGAAAAACAAAUCACAACUGUCUAUACUGAAAUUCUCUCAAAAAUUAAACCUGACCCUUGGAAAAGUUUAAAUAUUUAAUAGACAUUGAUAUAAGAGCUGAAUGCGAUUAGCAUUUUAGUAUUGCUAAAGGGUCUAUAAAUUACUUUAACAAUUGGAAAAAUUCAGGAAAAAGAAGUAAAAACUAAGGAUAACUUAGAAGAGUUUAUUGGAAAACAUAGGCAAAGAAAUAAAGCUUUAUUAGAAACAUCAGAACACUUUCAAUUAGGCGCCAUUGGAUGCAAAGUUGACUGAUGGAUUUCAGCAUUAACAGAUGCAACACAGUCUGGAGCAGAGAUUUUCAAAGUGGCAACUGUCAUAGCCUACCUAAAAUUGUUAGCAAAAUUUUUUGUGUAAGCUUCCUUCCCCAUCACAAUUUUUUAUCAUUAAUGAGAAAAUAAAAUAGACUUGGUGUUUUUGCAGGGCAAAAGGGGGUUGCUUUUUGUUCUUUGUUUUUUUUUUUCUUGUGUUUUUGCACUAUGGUGUUGGGCAAGUUUAAAUGCUUUGAAACCACCCACCCAAUUUUAGUAAAUGUUGCAAAUCUGUCCCUACUUUUUCAAUCCUAACACCACCCUUAAAGAGGUCUGCCUUGUUAUGAGAAAAGCUUGUCUACAGUAAAUAAUUUUUUUUAAAGUUAUUAAGGAUUGUAUUGAAAAACACAGGUCUGGACAACAUUUUGGAAUAAAUAAACAUUGUUUUAUAUUAUUUUAACAUUUAAA